rnacentral:rRNA from 1 species
AAUCAACGCUGGCGGCGUGCCUCAGACAUGCAAGUCGAACGAUUAAACUCGCCUCGGGUGAGAUAUAAAGUGGCGCACGGGUGAGUAACACGUAAGUAAUCUACCUUCGAGUGGGGAAUAACGUCUGGAAACGGACGCUAAUACCGCAUAAUGCAGCGGCACCUAAUGGUGACAGUUGUUAAAGAUUUAUCGCUUGAAGAGGAGCUUGCGGCAGAUUAGCUAGUUGGUAAGGUAAUGGCUUACCAAGGCUACGAUCUGUAACCGGUCUAAGAGGACGGUCGGUCACACUGACACUGAAUAACGGGUCAGACUCCUACGGGAGGCAGCAGUCGGGAAUUUUGGGCAAUGGGCGAAAGCCUGACCCAGCAACGCCGCGUGAAGGAUGAAGUAUCUCGGUAUGUAAACUUCGAAAGAAUGGGAAGAAUCAAUGACGGUACCAUUUAUAAGCUCCGGCUAACUACGCGCCAGCAGCCGUAGUAAUAC